GACGAACGCUGGCGGCGUGCCUAAUACAUGCAAGUAGAACGCUGAAGGAGGAGCUUGCUUCUCUGGAUGAGUUGCGAACGGGUGAGUAACGCGUAGGUAACCUGCCUGGUAGCGGGGGAUAACUAUUGGAAACGAUAGCUAAUACCGCAUAAUAGCAGUUAUUGCAUGAUAACUGUUUGAAAGGUGCAAUUGCACCACUACCAGAUGGACCUGCGUUGUAUUAGCUAGUUGGUGGGGUAACGGCUCACCAAGGCGACGAUACAUAGCCGACCUGAGAGGGUGAUCGGCCACACUGGGACUGAGACACGGCCCAGACUCCUACGGGAGGCAGCAGUAGGGAAUCUUCGGCAAUGGACGGAAGUCUGACCGAGCAACGCCGCGUGAGUGAAGAAGGUUUUCGGAUGUAAAGCUUUGUUGUAAGAGAAGAACGAGUGUGAGAG
rnacentral:rRNA from 1 species